GUGCAGCAGGCGAGAAACCUCCGCAAUGCGGGAAACCGUGACGGGGUCACCCCGAGUGCCACCCGAUGAGGGUGGCUUUUCCCCGGUCUAAAAAGCCGGGGGCAAUAAGCGGGGGGCAAGUCUGGUGUCAGCCGCCGCGGUAAUACCAGCCCCGCGAGUGGUCGGGACGUUUAUUGGGCCUAAAGCGUCCGUAGCCGGCUCGGUAAGUCCCUCCUUAAAUCCACGGGCUCAACCCGUGGGCUGGGAGGGAUACUGCCGGGCUAGGGGGCGGGAGAGGCCGAGGGUACUCCCGGGGUAGGGGCGAAAUCCGUUAAUCCCGGGAGGACCACCAGUGGCGAAGGCGCUCGGCUGGAACGCGCCCGACGGUGAGGGACGAAAGCUGGGGGAGCAAAGGGGAUUAGAUACCCCCGUAGU
rnacentral:rRNA from 1 species